GUGCAAAAAUGAGUACGUAAAUAGUACAAAUAGUUACAUAAGCAACAUGAGCCGUGCCACUAGCAAACGAGUAACAAAUGAAUUCCACACCUUUUAUUUGUCAUAAUAAAAUAUGCCAUUCUGUUUUGUUUGACAGAUGGGCAAUUUAGAUGAGUCCGACAAACGUCAAAGUGUUUUGUGCAAAGUGCUUUUUAAUUAUAUUCAAAAAACUUGUGGGGUUUGCCUUAUUUUUUGUUUUAACCCCAAAUUAAGCCAGAAGAGUCUAACUAACUCAACCCUUAUCAUGGCGAGUGAGUGCAAAAAAAUAAAAAGUCAAAGAAAACAACUAAUAUACAUCAGAUCUGAAAACAAAGAAAUGUUUUUUAAUCAAAUAGCAAAUGGUAACAAAAUGAAAAAUGUGAAAAAUGAAGAAAACGAUGAAGACAAAAGGGUAGAUGUAGACAUUGAUUUUGCACAACCAAGUGGUUCUAGUGGUGUUGUUGAUACAACUGACGCGUUUGAUACAAAUAGUAUUAAUAGAACCGAACGGAAUGAAUCACAAAACGGUUAUGCUAACAACCCUAAUGUUAUUAUCAUUUGUACUAACAGCGAUGGGACUAAUAAUAUGAUUAAUAUAUCUAGUAAAACAAAACAAAAUGAAAAAUAUAAUAUACUAAGAAAUGUUGUAUCUGAUAUUAUUACUGAACAACUAAAGGAAGAAGAAAAAAAAACUAAUUUUAUAGAACAGUUAAAAACAGAUGUUGUUAAGUUAAAAAAUGAGUGUAUAUAUUGGAAAAAAGAAGCUAAUAAUUAUAAUAAUAAAUUAAAAACAUUAAAUAAAAAUUAUUUGAAAAUAAAUGAAUUUCUUUUUAAUACUCUAAAUAAUUCUUAUAGCAAUGGUGAGUUUUAAAUACGUGGAUUUCCUUUCUCUUUUUCUUUUUCAUUUUCUUUUUUUUCUUUUUCUUUUUCAUUUCCUUUUUUUUCUUUUUCUUUUUCAUUUCCUUUUUUUUCUUUUUCUUUUUCAUUUCCUUUUUUUUCUUUUUCUUUUAAUAUGUAACAAAAAUUUUUACAUAAAACAAAGUUUUUUAUUAUUUUGUCAAACAUUAAUGUUAUUAUCAUAAGAUAUUUUUUUUUUUUUUUUUUUUUUUUUUUUUUUUUUUUUUUUUUUU
rnacentral:lncRNA from 1 species